rnacentral:lncRNA from 1 species
UCCUAUUAUGUGUACAGAGCUGCUGAUGUCACGGCCAUCUACCUUUCCAAGGUGCUCCUCCUUUACAUUUUAGUGUUCUAUUAGCUUUGUUUUCUUUACCGUAAGUUACUCAUUCCAUUCCUUUGCUUUUUUGCUACUGUAGAUUGCAAGAUAAACUGAUGAUGCAUGGCUCAGAUGUUGUGCAAGGUCGACAAUGGGGAUGCUACUUAGAUAAUUAGAAUGCCAUUUUCAUGGUCAAUGUUUCAAACAACAUUAUUAAUGGCUGAUAAGUUGAUGCAAGGUCAAGAACUGCCUACUUCUCCGUACUAGAUAGUUUCACAUCUUGUAAACUUUGGAUCAUGUUCUUUGUAAUGCAACAUAUUCG